rnacentral:rRNA from 1 species
GAAGCUGCGGCAGCGACACUGUGUGUUGUUGGGUAGGGGAGCGUUCUGUAAGCCUGUGAAGGUGUGUCGUGAGGCAUGCUGGAGGUAUCAGAAGUGCGAAUGCUGACAUAAGUAACGAUAAAGCGGGUGAAAAGCCCGCUCGCCGGAAGACCAAGGGUUCCUGUCCAACGUUAAUCGGGGCAGGGUGAGUCGACCCCUAAGGCGAGGCCGAAAGGCGUAGUCGAUGGGAAACGGGUUAAUAUUCCCGUACUUGGUGUUACUGCGAAGGGGGGACGGAGAAGGCUAUGUUGGCCGGGCGACGGUUGUCCCGGUUUAAGCGUGUAGGUGUGUGUUCCAGGUAAAUCCGGUUCACUUUAACACUGAGGCGUGACGACGAGGCACUACGGUGCUGAAGCAACAAAUGCCCUGCUUCCAGGAAAAGCCUCUAAGCAUCAGGUAACAUCAAAUCGUACCCCAAACCGACACAGGUGGUCAGGUAGAGAAUACCAAGGCGCUUGAGAGAACUCGGGUGAAGGAACUAGGCAAAAUGGUGCCGUAACUUCGGGAGAAGGCACGCUGACACGUAGGUGAAGUGAUUUACUCAUGGAGCUGAAGUCAGUCGAAGAUACCAGCUGGCUGCAACUGUUUAUUAAAAACACAGCACUGUGCAAACACGAAAGUGGACGUAUACGGUGUGACGCCUGCCCGGUGCCGGAAGGUUAAUUGAUGGGGUCAGCGCAAGCGAAGCUCCUGAUCGAAGCCCCGGUAAACGGCGGCCGUAACUAUAACGGUCCUAAGGUAGCGAAAUUCCUUGUCGGGUAAGUUCCGACCUGCACGAAUGGCGUAAUGAUGGCCAGGCUGUCUCCACCCGAGACUCAGUGAAAUUGAACUCGCUGUGAAGAUGCAGUGUACCCGCGGCA